rnacentral:rRNA from 1 species
UACGGAGGGGGCGAGCGUUAUUCGGAAUUAUUGGGCGUAAAGGGCGCGUAGGCGGCCCGGUAAGUCAAAGGUGAAAUCCCUCGGCUCAACUGAGGAACUGCCUUUGAAACUGUCGGGCUUGAGGCCGGGAGGGGGUAGCGGAAUUCCCAGUGUAGCGGUGAAAUGCGUAGAUACUGGGAGGAACACCAGUGGCGAAGGCGGCUACCUGGACCGGUUCUGACGCUGAUGCGCGAAGGCGUGGGUAGCAAACAGG